UUCUUCUUCUGCUGCUUCCUGGCAUUCGUUCUUCUUCUGCUGUUUUCUGGCAUUCGUUUUGCCUUGAAUAAAGCCUGAAAAACGGGAGCUCUAGCAGAAGUUAAUUAUAAUGUAUCUAGAAGCUGAAAUAUAUCGUCAAGGUUGAACUAUAUUGAACAUUACACGACAUCUGUUGUAAACAAAGUUAUCUCGUGGAUUUCAGUGGAUUAAAAACCAGUCUGGCUAUCGACAAUAGCAGUGGAUGUUACCCCACAGACUGGUUUUUUUGAGGCUUCUUCUGGUCCUGGAUCCCUGAUGUUCUUUCCAUUGAAGCUGGAUUCUUCUCUGUCUGCCCUGGUGCCUGGUUCCUUGGUCCACUGCCUCAUCUAACAACGCUGCAACGGUCCCAUUGGGUGGUUUGAUAUGGACGCUAAGUAUUGAGGGGGUGGUUGGACAGUUAAAAUAUUUGAGUGCACUCAAGGGCAACUAUUUUUCUUUUGAAAGAUUUUCCUUUUGUUUUUUUGUUUCAUGAGAUCUCAAAAAUUGUGGCUGAUUUGUGAAUAUUAAUGCUGUGAGAACUGAACUAAAUAUUGAAUUUUGAAUAAGAAAAUAAGGAAAAUAAUUUUAAUAAGAACCUCAUUCAAACUUAA